GGCCCAUUAUCUCAGUUGGUUAGAGCGUUGUGCUAAUAACGAGAAGGCCGCCGGUUCGAUCCCCUCAUGGGCCA